GGCCCGAUUGUACAUUGGCGGCUUAAGCUAUGGCUUAGUUGAACCGGGUUCAAUUUUGAGCGUCGGUUUAACUUCAUUCGGGUUGUUCAAUGCCGAGUUCAGUUAAGCCGAGGUUCAUACAAAUUUUGGUAAGGUUGGCAACGUAAGGCAUGCGUAUUCAAAGCAAUUCCCGUCAAUUCUCGACAUAAAUUUUCCCGCCAUUUAUGUAUUAUUAUUUGGUUUUUGUCAAUAUAAUUCUUUUAUUACUGUUAUUAGUUUAAUCGGUAUUUUCUAUCGUUUAGUUUAUCAGUUUAAUCAAUUUCCUACGUUAAAUUUGUGAACAGACCAUUUGAAUAGCUUGUGAUGAAGGAUUGCGUAAGGGUGUUAUCAGGUUUUCUUGACUCCGUAACCACUAUCACCAAAGAAGAUACUAAUUCAAUCUUCACAUUCUCUUCUCAUAAAUAUUUAACUGUUUACAGCUAUGAUUUCAAAUUCACUCAAAAAUGUUAAUAUUUGCCUUAUUCUAGGGAAGUAGGUAGGUAAUUUAAAUAAUUUUAGAAGGUAAAUUAGUUUGUAAUUAUUAUUAAAUAAAGUGAUAAUAUGUACCUACAUAAGCAUGGUACAAAUAUAAUUAAUUUAAGAUUUAUUAAUAAAUUAUGUACAUCUAAUUUAAUAAAUUAACAAAAUCGUUUUCUACAUUUGCUUCAAAAUCAUUCACAAGUUGCAAAAAGGAGCCUGUUGCUUAAAACCAGUGAUAUGGGCCCACUUCACUGCACAAAACCUUAAUUUAAGGCAAUAAAAACAAUGUUCUUAGAAGAUACAGCUUGGUUCUUGAAAUGUCAAUAACAAAUUUGCCACUUGUUUUCGUUCUCGUUCUUACCUAUCUGUUCGAUUUUUUAUUCUAUGAGCAAUACUAGUUUCAUACAAAUAGUGAACAGUGAACAGAUAUCCAAAAUCUUU